UUUCCGUAGGUGAACCUGCGGAAGGAUCAUUCAUAAUAAAGUGUUUUAUGGCACUUUUCAAAAAUCCAUAUCCACCUUGUGUGCAAUGUUAGAUCUCGUCAAUCUUGGCGAGAUUUUUAUACAUCAACUCAUUCUUUAACUAAUUUGUCUGAAAAAUAUUAUGAAUACCUAAUUCAAAAUACAACUUUCAACAACGGAUCUCUUGGCUCUC
rnacentral:misc_RNA from 1 species